CCUACGGGUGGCAGCAGUGGGGAAUAUUGCACAAUGGGGGAAACCCUGAUGCAGCGACGCCGCGUGAGUGAAGAAGUAUUUCGGUACGUAAAGCUUUAUCAGCAGGGGAGAAAAUGACGGUACCUGACUAAGAAGCCCCGGCUAACUACGUGCCAGCAGCCGCGGUUAUACGGAGGGGGCAAGCGUUAUCCGGAUUUACCGGGGGUAAAGGGAGUGUAGUGGGCAGCGGAAGUCCGGAGUUAAAUCCCAUGGUUUAAACAUGGAACUGCUUUGGAAACUGUGCAGCUAGAGUGCAGGAGAGGUAAGCGGAAUGCCUAGUGUAGCGGUGAAAUGCAUAGAUAUUGGGAAGAACACCGGUGGCGAAGGCGGCGUACUGGACUCGGACUGACGUUGAGGCUCGAAAGCGUGGGGAGCAAACAGGAUUAGAUACCCGUGUAGUC
rnacentral:rRNA from 1 species